rnacentral:lncRNA from 1 species
CGAAAUAUCAUGUUUUCGAAUGUUCUAACCAAGUCGGGGAAAACAUUCUUUGUAGUUUCUUCAUUGAAUGCAUUAAGAUGAGAUUGAAUGGCAAGAAUGGAUUUAAUCAGUGCUACCAGUAUUUUAUUGGGAUUUUUAAGGGGAAUAUACUUCGAUUUCUCAUCAGAACAUCGAGGAGAGAAACUACUCAACCUGAAAAUUUAACGAUUUUGAGGAAACAGAAACACAAAGAACAAGAAGUAAUUUCAGAAUUACAAACAAAAGCUCGCCUGUUUAAGGGCAAGAGCAGACAAGCUGACAGCCUCCGAUACCAACAAGUGAAUCUGUCGUCGUGAUUCCUAAAAACCACGAAGCAAUCUUGCUGAUCUCUACCGUCUGCAAAUGUUUUCGAAAAUAAUAGUCAUUCUCCAAAUGUUGAAAUGGAGUUAUCUAUUCGGAUGCUAAUAAUCUCACUCUGAAGAAUCGGAAGUUGGCUUUCAGUUUCCGGUUUGUCUCGAGGAAGUUAGCCGGAAAGUGAUGCAAUUUGGCCGGAGAUAGGAGCAUGAAGUCCAUGUUUCAUGUCUGAUUUUCCCGGGAAGAGGGCCUCUAAGUUGGUCUCAAACUGAGGUUAGAAAAAUUUAUACCUUGGGCUUAUAUAUG